rfam:Schistosoma curassoni strain Dakar, Senegal genome assembly, scaffold: SCTD_contig0000578
GCACUGUAGAGGAGUCCCACAAUAGGACGAAACGGCUGUCCAGUGC